UACGGAGGGGGUUAGCGUUGUUCGGAAUUACUGGGCGUAAAGCGCGCGUAGGCGGACUGGAAAGUUAGUGGUGAAAUCCCAGAGCUUAACUCUGGAACUGCCAUUAAAACUUUUCAGCUAGAGUAUGAUAGAGGAAAGCAGAAUUUCUAGUGUAGAGGUGAAAUUCGUAGAUAUUAGAAAGAAUACCAAUUGCGAAGGCAGCUUUCUGGAUCAUUACUGACACUGAGGAACGAAAGCAUGGGUAGCGAAGAGGAUUAGAUACCCUCGUAGUCCAUGCCGUAAACGAUGUGUGUUAGACGUUGGAAAUUUAUUUUCAGUGUCGCAGCGAAAGCGAUAAACACACCGCCUGGGGAGUACGACCGCAAGGUUAAAACUCAAAUGAAUUGACGGGGACCCGCACAAGUAGUGGAGCAUGUGGUUUAAUUCGAAGAUACGCGCAGAACCUUACCAACACUUGACAUGUUCGUCGCGACUCUAAGAGAUUAGAGUUUUCGGUUCGGCCGGACGAAACACAGGUGCUGCAUGGCUGUCGUCAGCUCGUGUCGUGAGAUGUUGGGUUAAGUCCCGCAACGAGCGCAACCCUCACUUUUAGUUGCCAUCAUUAAGUUGGGCACUCUGAAAGAACUGCCAGUGAUAAGCUGGAGGAAGGUGGGGAUGACGUCAAGUCCUCAUGGCCCUUACGUGUUGGGCUACACACGUGCUACAAUGGUAUCUACAACAGGAAGCAAGACUGCGAGGUCAAGCAAAUCCUUAAAAGAUACCUCAGUUCGGAUUGCACUCUGCAACUCGAGUGCAUGAAGCUGGAAUUACUAGUAAUCGUGGAUCAGCGUGCCACGGUGAAUGCGUUCCCGGGUCU
rnacentral:rRNA from 1 species